GCCCUGCUAGCUCAGUGGUAGAGCGUCGCACUUGUACGAGCGCGUUCAGUCCCCCGCGCGCGUCUCGCCCGAUGCGAAGGUCAGUCGUUCAAUCCGGCUGUGGGGCA
rnacentral:tRNA from 1 species